ensembl:lncRNA
GCUAACAGGAGUAGGAAGUGCUCUGCUUUAAAUCUGCCUUUUACAGAGAAGUCAGUGGGCUGAGAUGGAAAAGUCCUUCACUCCCACAUUUGCUGGCUGUGCACCCUUGGUGCGUCACGAAUUCUCUCUGAACUGAUUUCUUUAUCUGGCUUAUGGCAUUUUGUGAGAACUAACUGAGAAAGUAGACGGAAGUUCCUAACCCAAUGCCUGACAUGUAGCAUUUGCUUGUUUUCUCCAUCAGCUGAGCAUCCUCCCUCUGCAGAAAAUAAAGCUUCUGUUCAAGGACCAAACUUCACCAUGACAAACGACUCUGGUUUUAAACCAUUUUCACAAGAAGGUAUAUCUACACAUGAAACAGACACAGAGCUGGAAGAUGGGAAGCAGAUCAGAAACGCCCUGGGUUGGUUGCAGGCUUGAGAGUGGCUGUGAUCACCAGGUUACAUCCUCUUACUUCCUAGGAUCCUUCUGAACUAGGGAUGCACCUUCAGCUGGGGUACUGCUUUUCUAAGAGUGGCUGUUAUCAGCAUGAAGGGGACCCCAGGUAGGCUCACCACACUAUGUUGUCAGUGUAGAAACCAUAAACCCAGGGCAGAGAGGAAGACAUGUAGCAGCGUGUAUGUGGCCCUGAGCAUGAGGUCCUGUAUCUUUAAGCAGAGCUCGGCAAGCCUAGAGGCUGGCUUUGCUUGCUCAUCUAUGCGGAGGCGGCCACCAUCCUGUGAGCAGUACCUGGGGUUGUGGGAGUUCUUUGGGGAGACUGCCCUGUGAGUCACGCCUGCAGAGGGUUGUGGGGCAGAGUUCUCAACAUGCUCAGUGGUGAUUCAGGGGCCCAGCUGAGACCUCAGCCGUAACCAAGGCUACCCAAGUAACCCAUUCUACCUGGUCCGGAACUGGCCCUGUCUGGCUGGUAGGGAGUGGUCCUGACUUAGAUAACCACAUCAUCGCCAGCAGUGAUCAAAAAGAUGCCCACAGGAUCAGUCUCCUGGCAUCAGCCGUGGCAUGUGGGCACAAGGAGAGCUGGGGAAUAGUGGGUGCAAAUGGUCUGAGAAGACCAGCUCUCCAGUGAACAAGCAUAUUCACUAUGGCAUUAGUGCUAGAAAGACCACACAUUCACUGGGUGUAUCCACAGGGGUUACUCAGCAGCAUGAUACAUGGGGGGCUGGAGAUGUAAAUCCCUCCUUGUGUUUAGGGAUUGAAAGUCCCCUCUGUGGUCAAGGAUUUGGGGCAGUCUUAUGUGAAAGUAGGGAGAGUGACCCAGUGGCUUCAGGGCUGCCU